rnacentral:rRNA from 1 species
CGGGUGAGUAAUGCCUAGGAAUCUGCCUGGUAGUGGGGGACAACGUUUCGAAAGGAACGCUAAUACCGCAUACGUCCUACGGGAGAAAGCAGGGGACCUUCGGGCCUUGCGCUAUCAGAUGAGCCUAGGUCGGAUUAGCUAGUUGGUGAGGUAAUGGCUCACCAAGGCGACGAUCCGUAACUGGUCUGAGAGGAUGAUCAGUCACACUGGAACUGAGACACGGUCCAGACUCCUACGGGAGGCAGCAGUGGGGAAUAUUGGACAAUGGGCGAAAGCCUGAUCCAGCCAUGCCGCGUGUGUGAAGAAGGUCUUCGGAUUGUAAAGCACUUUAAGUUGGGAGGAAGGGCAGUAAGUUAAUACCUUGCUGUUUUGACGUUACCGACAGAAUAAGCACCGGCUAACUCUGUGCCAGCAGCCGCGGUAAUACAGAGGGUGCAAGCGUUAAUCGGAAUUACUGGGCGUAAAGCGCGCGUAGGUGGUUCGUUAAGUUGGAUGUGAAAGCCCCGGGCUCAACCUGGGAACUGCAUCCAAAACUGGCGAGCUAGAGUACGGUAGAGGGUGGUGGA